rnacentral:rRNA from 1 species
GAUGAACGCUGGCGGUAUGCCUAACACAUGCAAGUCGUACGAGAGUUUUUAACUCUAGUGGCGGACGGGUGAGUAACACGUGAGAAUUUGCCUUUAGGAGGGGGAUAACAAUUGGAAACGAAUGCUAAUACCCCAUAUGCUUUUGAGUGAAAUGGAUUUUAUCCGCCUAGAGAGAAGCUCGCGGCUGAUUAGCUUGUUGGUAAGGUAAGAGCUUACCAAGGCGACGAUCAGUAUCUGGUUUGAGAGGACGAUCAGACACACUGGAACUGAGACACGGUCCAGACUCCUACGGGAGGCAGCAGUGGGGAAUUUUCCGCAAUGGGCGAAAGCCUGACGGAGCAAUACCGCGUGAGGGAAGAAUGCCUA